rnacentral:rRNA from 1 species
GACGAACGCUGGCGGCGUGCUUAACACAUGCAAGUCGAGCGGUAAGGCCCUUUCGGGGUACGACGAGCGGCGAACGGGUGAGUAACACGUGGGUGGACCUGCCCUCCAGCUCUGGGAGUAAGCCUGGGAAACCGGGUCUAAUACUGGAUAUGACUCCAUGACGCAUGUUGUGGGGUGGAAAGCCUUGUGCGGCUGAGGAUGGGCCCGCGGCCUAUCAGCUUGUUGGUGGGGUGAGGCCUACCAAGGCGACGACGGGUAGCCGGCCUGAGAGGGCGACCGGCCACACUGGGACUGAGACACGGCCCAGACUCCUACGGGAGGCAGCAGUGGGGAAUCUUGCGCAAUGGGCGAAAGCCUGACGCAGCGACGCCGCGUGAGGGAUGACGGCC